GAUGAACGCUGGCGGCGUGCCUAAUACAUGCAAGUCGAGCGAACGGACGAGAAGCUUGCUUUUCUGAUGUUAGCGGCGGACGGGUGAGUAACACGUGGAUAACCUACCUAUAAGACUGGGAUAACUUCGGGAAACCGGAGCUAAUACCGGAUAAUAUUUUGAACCGCAUGGUUCAAAAGUGAAAGACGGUCUUGCUGUCACUUAUAGAUGGAUCCGCGCUGCAUUAGCUAGUUGGUAAGGUAACGGCUUACCAAGGCAACGAUGCAUAGCCGACCUGAGAGGGUGAUCGGCCACACUGGAACUGAGACACGGUCCAGACUCCUACGGGAGGCAGCAGUAGGGAAUCUUCCGCAAUGGGCGAAAGCCUGACGGAGCAACGCCGCGUGAGUGAUGAAGGUCUUCGGAUCGUAAAACUCUGUUAUUAGGGAAGAACAUAUGUGUAAGUAACUGUGCACAUCUUGACGGUACCUAAUCAGAAAGCCACGGCUAACUACGUGCCAGCAGCCGCGGUAAUACGUAGGUGGCAAGCGUUAUCCGGAAUUAUUGGGCGUAAAGCGCGCGUAGCGGUUUUUUAAGUCUGAUGUGAAAGCCCACGGCUCAACCGUGGAGGGUCAUUGGAAACUGGAAAACUUGAGUGCAGAAGAGGAAAGUGGAAUUCCAUGUGUAGCGGUGAAAUGCGCAGAGAUAUGGAGGAACACCAGUGGCGAAGGCGACUUUCUGGUCUGUAACUGACGCUGAUGUGCGAAAGCGUGGGGAUCAAACAGGAUUAGAUACCCUGGUAGUCCACGCCGUAAACGAUGAGUGCUAAGUGUUAGGGGGUUUCCGCCCCUUAGUGCUGCAGCUAACGCAUUAAGCACUCCGCCUGGGGAGUACGACCGCAAGGUUGAAACUCAAAGGAAUUGACGGGGACCCGCACAAGCGGUGGAGCAUGUGGUUUAAUUCGAAGCAACGCGAAGAGCCUUACCAAAUCUUGACAUCCUUUGACAACUCUAGAGAUAGAGCCUUCCCCUUCGGGGGACAAAGUGACAGGUGGUGCAUGGUUGUCGUCAGCUCGUGUCGUGAGAUGUUGGGUUAAGUCCCGCAACGAGCGCAACCCUUAAGCUUAGUUGCCAUCAUUAAGUUGGGCACUCUAAGUUGACUGCCGGUGACAAACCGGAGGAAGGUGGGGAUGACGUCAAAUCAUCAUGCCCCUUAUGAUUUGGGCUACACACGUGCUACAAUGGACAAUACAAAGGGCAGCGAAACCGCGAGGUCAAGCAAAUCCCAUAAAGUUGUUCUCAGUUCGGAUUGUAGUCUGCAACUCGACUACAUGAAGCUGGAAUCGCUAGUAAUCGUAGAUCAGCAUGCUACGGUGAAUACGUUCCCGGGUCU
rnacentral:rRNA from 1 species